AGUAAAUAAGCAUGCAAAAAACAAGGUAUACAUGGUUCACCCGAAUUAUGGGCUACAUCCACGGAAAGAUGUUCUCAUUAUGAUAAUGUUUGUUUACAUUUGUAUAAGGGGAUUAGACCCAAAGAUAAAGGGAAGAAGGUGAAAGAGUCCUAAGCACAAAGCCUAAGAGUCCAAGGCCCAAAGGUCAAGACCCUUUUCUAAGUAAAGAGUGGUCUUCCUUUCUAGGUGAAGGGGAGUCUCCACCUCUUGUAGUCUUCCAAUGUGGGACUCUUGAUAUUGCCCCUAGUUGUG
rnacentral:lncRNA from 1 species